rnacentral:lncRNA from 1 species
AAAGCAAGGAUAUGAUUGAAAUAUAAUCAUCAAUAAGUAUAUUUUUAGGUAUUUUUUAAAAUAUAAAGAAUAAAUGAAUAUUUAACUCAAAAUAUAGAUACUAUGCAAGUGUUCACCCUUUUAAUUUGACUUGGUGAUUGAGACUUUAAGUGAUCAAUCCAUACUUUAUAAUCUAUGUACAAAAUUGGAGAAAGAUGCAAAGAGCAAGUUAUGGCACAUGAAAAAUGAAGAGAACUGUGACUACACAUGGUGGUGUUAAGCAUUUCAUUAUUUUAGUACGGCAAAAUUUAAAUGUGUGUGGAUUUUGUCGUUUGUGGUGUGUGUCUAUAUAUAUAUAUAUAUAUUACAUGCAUAUACUUCUAGU